GUGAAGGAGCUGGAAAUCAAAACAGCAACAGCUUGCUCUUUUUAAUGGCGAAAUCUAAUGCACACAUCUGAAACAUGUGUUUUUUAGAGUGACAGAUGGCUACUGCAAAAUCUUGAAGUAUCACACUUCUGUAAUUACCGCUGAAAGGAAUAACACAUGAUUGAUAUUCCAGAAAAUGUGAUGGGCACGUAUAUGUGAACCCGCCUUUUUAUGACAUCGGUCGCUAUGGAAGAAGUAAUAGAACUAAAAGAACCCCUUCAAAGAGUGAAAGAUACAGAAGCGGAGGAUGAGGUAACAAAGAAAUCAGAAAAACAAAAGGCAUCCGAAAGUGGUGGUAAAAUUAUUUGGAGAGGCGCGAACUCCAUGAUGACAUUAUUUUUCAUAAUGGCAUCUGGAGUACAGUUCAACGAUCCAGAUCCAUUUUUGUGGGUGCCUCUAUAUGGAACGGCAGCCAUCUUGACGGCUUGUAUAGCUAUCAGACCUAAUCUUAGUGGUCAUAAACGGUGGCGUUUUCUGUACUGGUUGCAUGCCGUGUUUUGCUUAGGCAUGUUCUGCUAUGCUUUUGUGGAACUGGUGAUAGCUGCAGUAAACCCGGAAUCUGAUGGUUCACUCAAUCCUCUCACUUAUGAGGAAGGAAGGGAAAUGGCUGGAGUUCUGAUUACAACCAUAUGGCUUUUCACGUGCAAGCAGUCCCCUACGAUCAAGUGUAUAUUUCCUCGUUGGUGUAUUUGUUGCAAAUCGAAACCACCGAACCUGUCAAAUGCUCCUACUGUUUACAUGGAAAUGGGCCAAUCCUCUUUGCUGUCUUCUGCCUCUGAAAUUUAGCUAGGCUAUUCGACAUUAAAAUGUAUGUUCAGAUUGUUUGUGCAAAGCUAUGGAUUCGAUCUAACUGAUCUGAUUCCUCCACAAGAAAGAAGAAAGGACAAAGCACGAUUACAAUCUUCAUUGUCAUCUUCAGUUUCCUUCCGUUGUUAUUGUGGGCUUUAUGCUACUCCAAUGUGUUAAAUGCAACUUAUUUUUCU
rnacentral:misc_RNA from 1 species